UGUAAGGGAUAACUUGGUGCUCUUCAGUUAUUUAUUUGUCCAGCCUCAUUUAAAGCUGCUGAGCUGUAUAUUGUGGUUUAGAUGAAAAUGUCAGUUCGCCAUGAUGGGGUGCUUGAGCACAGACUGACUUUGAUUCUCUGACCACUUGGUUAGGGACAAGAAAGAGAAAUUUUACAUUAAAUUCAAAACACAUCAACCAUCACCAUUUUGAUCAGAGAAAACCUUCAUGUCUCAAAACUCAUGGUUCUGACAGACAAUAAUAUAUCACACUAUGAUGCCUAGACAGUUUCACAGAGAAAUUCAUGUUCAAUGAUAUGGUGUUUGGGGAGUUCUUAAGUGAGUUUUCUGCUUUCCUUGUUAAUUGCAUUAGCUGUUAAUAUUUGCUGCUCCAAAGUCUGAAUUUAAAUGUAAACUCUGUGAAUAUAGUAAUUGUACUUUAUUCAUGUCUUUUCAGACUUGCUGAGAAAGCAUUUGGUGAUGGAAAAGGCAUAAAAUGAACAGAACAAGCAGGCUGCCAUAUCAACACGGAAAGUGCUCAGAAGAACUGUUCAUGUUGUUGGUUGGAAGCAACACUAAUAAUUAUGUUAACAGGAGUGGCACACGGCUGAUCUGCAUAGUAUUUGCAAACAGGCAGGAGCACCCUCUCCCCCAAGCAAAUGAUUUCUCAUUCCUUGGAUGACUCUGUAAAUACACGUGCAGAUUAGCUGGAGCUUCAGAAGUACUUAAACAGACAGCUGUACCACUCCUCAUAUCCAGAAAGAAUCUACCAACGAGAAAAGCUACUUGGGGAUAGCAUGCCUUUUAACAAGAAGGUGAAGCUGUUUCAUGAUUUGGGGCAGUGCUGGAUGUCACCAACUGCUGGGAGAUCCAGCUGGGAGAGAUUCUGCUUCCCCAGAGUCUUCAGUCCGGAACAACUGCACUGAAUGCAUUUGGGAUAUAGCCUGGAAAUACUGUUUUAUAAACAAGUUUACUUGAUGAGUUUACUUUGCUGGGUAGCAAUAUUGUCAGCUGGAUCCUAGUGAAGAAGCAGUAAUUAGGAAAGAAGGAAAAAGUUAGCUGUUAGCAUCUUGUCCUGCUCUGCUUUUAAUUAUUGUGGGCUUGUGAAAGUUUGCAGCAAUUAGAGCCACCUUGCUCAAGUAGCCUUUAAACUGGAUUGUUGUUGUUGUCAUAACUGUUAUUGUUCAAGAACUACAUUUUUCAAUUAAGGGAAAUACAUGAGAUACAUUAUCUAUAACAAUCUCUUUUAAUGAUAACAGUGGAUAUGGAAAUUAGUCCAGAGCAGAAAAUUAAAGAUAUUUGAAUAAUUAUAGUG
rnacentral:lncRNA from 1 species